GAUGAACGCUGGCGGCGUGCCUAAUACAUGCAAGUCGAGCGAACAGAUAAGGAGCUUGCUCCUUUGACGUUAGCGGCGGACGGGUGAGUAACACGUGGGUAACCUACCUAUAAGACUGGGAUAACUUCGGGAAACCGGAGCUAAUACCGGAUAACAUUUGGAACCGCAUGGUUCUAAAGUGAAAGAUGGUUUUGCUAUCACUUAUAGAUGGACCCGCGCCGUAUUAGCUAGUUGGUAAGGUAACGGCUUACCAAGGCGACGAUACGUAGCCGACCUGAGAGGGGGAUGGGCCACAGGGGAACGGGCAAGCGGUCCAACCCCCUAGGGGAGGCAAAAGGGGGGAAUCUUCCGAAAGGGGGGAAAGCCGGACGGAGCAACGCGGGGGGGGGAAGAAAGGGUUGCGGCUCGAAAAACUUUUUUAUUGGGGAAAAAAAAACGGGAAAGUAACGGGGCAAGUUUGGAGGGGACCUAAACAAAAAGCCCCGGUUAACUACGG
rnacentral:rRNA from 1 species